CAGCCGCCGCGGUAAUACAGAGGGUGCAAGCGUUAAUCGGAUUUACUGGGCGUAAAGGGCGCGUAGGUGGUUAUUUAAGUGAGAUGUGAAAGCCCCGGGCUUAACCUGGGAACUGCAUCUUAUACUGGGUAACUGGAGUGCAGUAGAGGGUAGUGGAAUUUCCGGUGUAGCGGUGAAAUGCGUAGAUAUAGGAAGGAACACCAGUGGCGAAGGCGACCACCUGGACUAAUACUGACACUGAGGUGCGAAAGCGUGGGGAGCAAAUAGGAUUAGAUACCCCUGUAGUCCCUGUCUCUUAUAC
rnacentral:rRNA from 1 species